GGCUAGCUGGGCGGAGGUGGAGAGCCCGGAGCCCGCCAGCCUUGUGCCUGUAAGAUACGCAGCGCCCGCCGGGAAAUGUAGUCCUCUGGCUAAGGAGAGCUGUCACUCUGAGCCGUGAGAUUUUAAGAGCCAAAGUCACUGUCCACGUGUGAGGAAGACACCAACGCUCUCUUCUGUUUGAAGAUUAGUUUACCAGCCACAGGAAGCUGCUGGAGUCAAACGGUCACCGAGAGGAAAAGAAGCACUUCGUUGUCAUGCUCACUCACAGACCCUGCACAGGGAAAAGGGAAACGAACGUCUGCCAGUGAUCAAAAGCUCUGAAGAGCAGGUUAUGAGGCUGAUCUGCUGCAUGUAUUGAUUGCUCUGAUUCCCAGUAAAGAGAAGCUUAAAAAGAAAGAAGGAAAGAAAGAAAGAAAGAAAGAAAGAAAGAAAGAAAGAAAGAAAGAAAGAAAGACCCACAAGAUAACAGCAUGGUAAGAGAUUAUUCACCUGCAUAUUUCUGUAAGGGCCAAGCUGGUUUGUCACAGCGUUACAGACACACCUCAACUCCUGGCAAGUUUGUAUCCCAGCAUCCCACUAUCAGCUGAAAAUGUUGCAGACAAACGUGCAUUUCAUACCCCUAAACUGUC